AUGGCGUCGGAGGCCAGGUCCGGGGGCGCGCGGCGGGUUCCGCUGCGGCCGAGGGACGGCAACGCGGCCGCGGCCUCCCCGUCCUUGGGCGGCGGCGCCCUUGCAAAGUCGAAGGCGAAGGCGCGGCCGGCUGCCGCGUCGCCGCCGUCGGUGAGGUCGUACGCGAGCCGGGAUGCGGCGGCGGUGGUGAGGGAGAAGGAGGUGUCGCUGGCGGAAGAGCUGGAGAAGGCGCGGGAGCGGCGGGGCCGGCUGCGGGCCGCGCGGCAGGUCACGGAGCGGGCGCUGGCGGAGGCGGACGAGGCGCUGCGGCGGGAGAUGCGGGAGUGGGAGCGCCGGGCCGACGAGCAGCGCCGGGUCGUUGCCGAGCUGAUGCGCCUCAUCGGGAUGCCCGAGGUCUAUGUUCCGGUGGAAUCGCUGAGAUCCAGGGAGGAGAGGAAGAGGAAACAGGGGGCUGCGUCUUCAGAUUCUCAGGGUCCGGUCACGGUGGCUUCAACACUACUAGAGGAAGAAGCCGGGGCAGAUCCCUCCGAUCAGGAACUGCUGGCGACGCCGACAAGAGAAACGAGUGCAGCAGCAGCCACGGAAAGCAGCAGCGUUUGA
rnacentral:rRNA from 1 species